rfam:Fukomys damarensis contig90220, whole genome shotgun sequence.
AUAAAGGCCUCUCUAGAGGCCACAUUUUUAAGUAUCCAUGGUACAU